GCGGAGCUGAGCGCUGGCGCUCUCCCGGCCUUCACGCCGAGCCUUGAGAUGGAUGCUGGUUCCUCUUUACAGAUUGCCCGGCUCUGAGCUGUGGACAAGUGUAGCGAAAGAAGCAGGGCUGUAGGCCCUUGCCCUAAAUCUGCGAUUUUUCUUUGCGCAGUUUGUGGCGCUGGGCAACUUGAAUUCUCAGGCAUCGCUGCGUUGACUAAAAAGAAACCGUGGUUACCGCACUUGCUAACUCUUCCUCGACCCAUCCUGCUCCUCACGGACCUCAGCGUCGGGUCUAAAACAUCUGUGCUUCGUGGGAUGUCGUAAGGCGGCGGUAGUGCAAUGGUGCUUUGCUUGCCCAUCCACACAAGGCUGGGAAGGCAGCCUUAUUAGACGUUGCUGACAAAUCAUUUGCAUACCCAAAGCAAAACUGGUCCUCUCCAAACCCGGCCUCCCUUCCUUCCCGCCACACUCCACGCCUUGAGCUGGGUCACGCUGAAGCCUCGUAGGGACCUAGGGACGGGGAGGAAGGCAGAUAUUGAGAAUGUGCAGCUCGGGGACUUUGGUACGGGAGACCUGUGGACGAUUUAACAAAGCUUAAACUCUAUGAUUAUUCUUAGUCCCUUAAUAGGCUUUCGUUGACCAAUCGUGUCAUACCCAACAUACUUUUGGCUCAAAACCUUUAAAGCAACCUCAUCGAAUCAAUGGUUUCCACCAUUCUGAAAGCUUAAAAUGUCAUUAGAUGAGAUCUGACACCUGUCAGUUUUUCCUGUUUGCUAUAAUCAAUCUGAUGGUCCAACCGGUAUCUGGAAACUGCCUUAACUUCUGACUUUAUUCUGUAUUGGAACGUGUUAUUCCACCCAACCCGAAUCCAUGUUCCCAGGCAAUACACACGCCAUUCACAUCUGGUGCAAAAGCUCUUAUUCCCUUUUGAAGAAGGCUGUUGUACAAAGACAGGAUAGCCACCGGGUGUGGACACGCCCCAAAGUGAGUCGCUUGUACCUUCCAGUUAGUAUAGCAGAGUAUUCCUGAGCGAGGGUGGCCCUCUUAAGAGAAGGAAUUCUAGACUGAGCGAGCAAUGAAAGCGGCUCUCGUAUUCAGGAGACUGAGAAGCGCGAUGCCAGGAUGAGUCCGCAAGAAAGGACUCGGGGAGUGGUUAAGACUGCAGAGAGGGAUAGCAGUUACUCUUGGAAACUCUUGGAAGUUUGAACUUGAUCUGCUUGAAGGUUUUUAAGGAAGGAAGGAAGAUGAUCACAUUUGCAUGUUAGAGAGCGAGUCUGGUUGGAGUGAAGGCUGGGACAGAGAUGAGAGAUUGGAGUAAGCGAAUCCAGAGCCAAAACUGAGACUUAAACACUUAAAAAUCCACUUAAAAUGCACACAAGAUAUACUUGAACACACUUAACCUGCACAUGCACCUAAAUACAUGUAAACAAUUAAAUGCUUUAGAUGCACGCUUAAAACACAUAUUUUUAAAAUGCACUUGAAACAAAAACAUUUAAAAUACAAGUAAAAUGCACAUAUUUUAAAAAUAUACAGGCAAAACCACACUGAAAAGCACACACUUAAAACUAGAUGCAUGCACACUUAAAAGUGCACACACACGUCAUGAGAAAAACCUCGCUAUUGAAUUGUUCAAGUUGCAUCUGGGUCACUGAGAAGUGUGCCCACAAAGGACAAUGUGAGGGACAAUAACAGGCAUAAAAGCUCUCAUUCCCUGGCUCUAUGACCAUGGCAAGAUCACCUGAUGAACUAUGGGCUGUUUCCAUCUCAGAAGGAUUAAAUGUCAUGCCUUAACUCCCCCCCCACCCCCCAAAAAAAUCCAAUGAACAACGAAGAUGUAUAAGGAGAAAAAAAAAAACAUACAUUUGUUCAUUCAAUAAAUAUUUAUUGAAUAUUUUCUACAUGCCAGACAAGAGGCUCGGAUGCACAGUAUUCAGGAAUAAAGGAGUGUCCUACCCUCAAAAAGGAGACAGGCCAGUAAAAACAAAGAGAAUAGUACAUCUUUCUAACACACCUUACAAUUCUCAGAGAAAUAAAGAUAAAAGAGUGCAGAGAAUUACAAGAGCACUAACAAGAAGGGAGAGUUGGAGGACAUGGUACCAGCUAGAGUAAAGAGUGAGGACCCAGGCAGAACGGCCCAUUUCAAAGAUACUGAGGAAAGCUGCCUCAAUGACUGACACCUGUAAUUCCUGCACUUCGGAGGCCAAGGCAGGGUUACCACCACAGGUUCAAAGCCAGCCUGGUCAGCAUAGUGAGUCCCACAUCAAACUGCGUAACACACUGUGGCCCCAUUUUUUAAAAAAGGGUGUGUGGGGGGGUAAUUGCUAAUACUUUUUUUUCCCCAAGAAACUACAUGUAGAAAGAAUAAAGAGUAAUCUCUCAACUCACAGAUCAUAAAGCAUAAAGGGAAGCCAGCCAACAAUGUAUGCGAAGAACACACAGAAUAAUCAUGUUCUUCACAGGGGGGUUCACGAUCUUUUAAUCCUAUACUUUGCAAAAGAUGUUGUUGCAAAAAAUUAAAAUUAAAAUUAAAAAAGGCCAUCU
rnacentral:lncRNA from 1 species